CUCGAACGAGCAGGUAAACAACACGGACCGCUCUGUUAGCAUAUAACACUUCAAAAGGCGCAGAAUUCGGAAAUGCCAUGCGAAGUGUGUGUGAAUUAAUGAAUUUUGACGAUCCUGACAACCUGAGAAGAGGGUGAGACCUAGAAAUCGAGGACCAAUGGAAUCAAUGUAACUUCCAUAUCAUCAACUCCGCUGUUGCGCAUCGAUCGAAAGCAUCCUAAAUUCUUCUGCAACAGCUUUCUUGUAUCGCCAUGAAGAAGGAAAAAAGCGGCACUCAGGUGUGUUCUGCACCGACGAUCUUACUCGGAAGCGUCGAGGGUGACGAUAUGAAAUUCCCCGUUUCUUCUCGUUUUUAUCGCUUCGAAAUAUAAAUUCAGCUCUUCGCCAAUCCUAAAUUUCUAUGCAACGGCGCAUAAACUACCAACACAACCAUGCAUUUAUGGAUCACCAUCGCACGAUAUAAUCUGUAUUCACGGUUAUACCGCAAAGUCGAUAGAACUGGAAGUUGGGCGACGGGGCAGGAGGAUUGUGGCUGUUGCGGGAAGCAACGUAAAUCGUCCGUCCAGACUGCGAAAGUAAGACUGUAUGAACAUAGAGACGUAUUAAGCAUAGACAACGUUUGUCACAGAUUCUGUUACACCAUAAAAGAUAUCAAACUUCUUCCUAAGAUUUUCACUUUUUCAUCGUC